rnacentral:rRNA from 1 species
GUCUACAGCCAUGCCACCCUGAACAAGCCUGAUCUUAUCUGAUCUCGGAAGCUAAGCAGGUUUGGGCCUGGUUAGUACUUGGAUGGGAGACCAUCUAAGAUGACUAGGUGCUGUAGGCA